UACGUAGGGUGCAAGCGUUGUCCGGAAUUAUUGGGCGUAAAGAGCUCGUAGGCGGUCUGUUACGUCGGCUGUGAAAACCUGGGGCUCAACCCCGGGCCUGCAGCCGAUACGGGCAGACUAGAAUUCGGUAGGGGAGACUGGAAUUCCUGGUGUAGCGGUGAAAUGCGCAGAGUAUCAGGAGGAACACCGGUGGCGAAGGCGGGUCUCGUGGGCCGAUAUUGACGCUGAGGAGCGAAAGCGUGGGGAGCGAACAGG
rnacentral:rRNA from 1 species